UACUUGGUGGCGACCGGCGCACGGGUGAGUAACGCGUAUGCAACCUACCUAUCAGAGGGGAAUAACCGGCGAAAGUCGGACUAAUACCGCAUAAAGCAGGGCACCGCAUGGUGAUAUUUGUUAAAGAAAUUCGCUGAUAGAUGGGCAUGCGUUCCAUUAGGUAGUUGGUGAGGUAACGGCUCACCAAGCCGACGAUGGAUAGGGGAACUGAGAGGUUGGUCCCCCACACUGGUACUGAGACACGGACCAGACUCCUACGGGAGGCAGCAGUGAGGAAUAUUGGUCAAUGGGCGGGAGCCUGAACCAGCCAAGUCGCGUGAAGGAAGAAGGAUCUAUGGUUCGUAAACUUCUUUUGCAGGGGAAUAAAGUGCAGGACGUGUCCUGUUUUGUAUGUACCCUGAGAAUAAGGAUCGGCUAACUCCGUGCCAGCCGCGGC
rnacentral:rRNA from 1 species